AAUGUGGUCCGGGAAACGGGCAGCACUUGUAAGGGCGAGGAAGCGCAAGAGCAGUGCGCACGCAGUGUAUUUGGCAGUAGGAAGCCUGGUUCCUUUCUACCCAUUUGUAAGUAAAAAUGCGCUCCUGCUUUAAAUAUUCUAGUCAGCCGUUCCAGAGAGGGGUGUCCCGAGGCAGCAGCCAGUGGGACCACGUGUCCCUGAGCACAGUGCGCCCCGGGGCCCUCCCACUCAGGACGUGUGCAGACGGACAGUGACCCUGCCGGCAUAUCAGCCCCAGGCUGCUCGGGGCUAACCGAGUGUGUGGGGGGUUGCGGGGUACCCCACUGCUGCCCUGUCUCUUCAGGCGAUGCGUCCAAGGAAGACAUCGACACGGCCAUGAAGCUGGGGGCUGGGUACCCCAUGGGCCCGUUCGAGCUGGUUGAUUACGUCGGGCUGGACACCACGAAGUUCAUCCUGGACGGGUGGCAUGAGAUGGACAUGCAGAACCCCUUGUUUCAGCCCAGCCCCUCCCUCAACAAGCUGGUGGCAGAGAAGAAGCUCGGGAAGAAGACUGGAGAAGGCUUCUACAAGUACAAGUGACGGCCCCUGGCUGGGCAGGACCCUCGGGAGCGGGGUCAGCUGGCGCCCCGAGGGCCGCAGGUGUGUUCUUCAGCCGGGCGCCCCUUCGGUGGCGCAGUCUGUUCGCAGAGCAUCCUGAGUGAGAGCCAGCUGACGCCGUUUGUACGCCAGUUCCAGGGGGACUGGUUCCGCGGUUGAGAGCUAACUGCCUCUUUUAGUCUGCCCAGAUCCGUGUAUUUUCUAAGAAGCUUUACGCCCUCGGUGCCUUGGGGCAAGCACUUCUGCUGAGCCUCGUCAGUUCUGCAGUUGCCUAAAAUCGUCCCCGCACAGCGGGGCGGUUCCUCUGAGGUCGGAGUGUGAGCACGUCGCCCGUUCCCACCUCACAGACGAGCCACUGGCCAUCGCACGUCCGAGGCACUGCCGAGCCCUGUCUGGGGGACCCCUGUCUGGGGGACCCCUGCGCUCCCGCAGCCCCGGCCUGUCCCAGUGUCCGGCUAUGGCCCGGGACGCCGUCUUUGUUCCCCUCAGCCUGGAGAGGCCGCUGCAGGCCCGGGAGUCUCAGCACGCGUCUGCAGGCAGAGGUCUGCCAGGGCCGUUCAGACCCACAAGCCCUCCUGGUUACCGUCUCUCUUGUUUUUCUAAUGGGAAAUCAGAUAACUGCCUAUAAGAUUGAUUUUAAUAAAAUGCAGUAUUUUAAUCUGUGGACAUUUGACUUGAAAUAAAAGUGUAAUUUAAAUCGUA